rnacentral:lncRNA from 1 species
CAAGAUGGUUAUUUGAUAGAUUGUCCCUUACUUUGGAUUUGGCUGAUGUUUCUUGGCGGUGAUAUUCUUAUGCAUUUGAGGUGGGAUUAUCACAGCAAUGGUGUCAUGUUCUCUGUGCAUCGCAUCAGGAGGGACAUGCUGAUGGUUUAUCCCAUUACACCAAAGUGAAUGUUGAUCGUUCAGUGAAGGUGGGUGCGGGUUCAUUGCAUUAUAUUGCAGAAGCCAUCAUCAGCCAUACUCGCUCUGAUUAACCAAUCAUCUUAUGUAGCCAUUUAUCUAACAAGGCUGUAAGGGUCUUGAACUCAGGGUAAGCAAGCCUUAAAGCAGAAGAGAAGAAAGAAAGGCUUUGGAACCUGGAGCUUUGGCAAAGGGCGCAGGUGUGGGGAACGCACCACCAAACUUGCUCCUGGCAUUAGGAUGAAGAGGAAGGAGAACAUUCUAUCUAGAAGGGGUUUGGGGUUAGCCAGAGGGGUGUGGGAGAGUCAGAGUCUGCCAACUUGUGGUUUUGCUGAGGGCUACACUGUGGUAGACAGGUGUUUCAUUUCUGCUCUUGAAAAUUUUGUUUCACAAUCCUUCAUCUAAAACAGAGCAAUUCCCUUUUUCUAAGUUUUGGCCCACUUUGCUUCAUCUGUCUUCUGUUCUCUUAUUUUUAGAGACAGGGUCUUGCUCUGUUGCCCAGGCUGGAGUGCAGUGAUGUGAUCAUAGGUCACUGCAGCCUUGACCUCCUGGGCUCAAGCAAUCCUCCUGCCUUAGCCUCCUCAGCUGAUCUUGAACUCUUGGCUUCAAGGGAUCCUCCCACCUCGGCCUCCCGAAGUGUUGAGAUGACAGGCAUGAGCCACCAUGCCCACCUCUGUCUUUUCUCUUGGGAUUACUGACUUCCACAUUAGCUCCAGGAAUAAUUUCUGUUAAGGUGAUGCCUGGCUCGACACUUCUGGUAACUCCCGUUGUUUAUCUAUUGCUUAUCUCCAGAACCUAUGUGAUGCUUCCUACUUCAAAGUGCACUAGUGCCUGUCAGCUUGAAGGCAUCCCCUGAGCUGCUGGCAAACAAGGCCUUUUUACCCAGAGAUUAACCUCUUAUUUGUUUCAAU